UAAAAAAAAAAAAAUUUGUUUAAUGGUUGUUCUGUUUGUAUUGAAGCGUUAGAUGUAACAAAUCGUUUCUUCUUUCGUACAGGAGAUAAUAAUGGUGGCAUAGAACACAGACCUCAUCCAGGUUAUGGUCAUGGUCAUGAUGUUGCUCCAGUCAUGGUCACGGCUGAUAAAAGUAUCUUAUCAGUUUUUGUUUUAUGCUGCCUUAGUAUCUCAGUUAAUAUUUUAAAAAUAAAAAGUAAGUCUAUAAAUAUAAAGGAUAUACUCCUUUUAGUAUUAGAAAAUUAUUUAUGGAUUGGGCUUGAAUUUAUGAACCUUUAUAAAUAUUUUAUAAAUGAUUUUAAACAUUUUUAAAUGAUUUAUAAUGUCAGUUUUAGUUUUGCAGAAAUUUAAAGUAUUUAUGAAAAUAGUUAUAUCUUAAAGAUAAAUUUAAAUAAUGAUAUCAAAUUUGGGGUAAAAGCUAAAAUUAAAAUUCUCUCAGAACUCAUAACAUACAUUUGUUUCUCCAAAAAUUCUAAAAAAAGAUGUUCAUGUCUAAUUGCAGCUUCUAAUGUUUCUUCCUUCCAUAUAUUUAAAUUUAUUUUUUCAAAAGAAAUUUUGGUUCAUACACUAUUAUGCGUUUUAUUUAAUUAGAAAACAGUUUAUCCAUAAUUGUGUUUCAAUUUACAGAAGUCCAAAGCCACAUAAGAUUUAUUUACUAUAAUGUUAUCAAAAUUAUAUUAGAACAAAUUUACAAAAACAACAUCUAUACAUUCUAAGAAGAGUUUUUUUAUGUUUACCCUAGAGGGCGUGGAUUCACCAGCUAAUUAUCUGUCAUAUCAUAUUUAUUUAUUUUUAGAAAAAGCAAAAUAACAAAAAUUUGCUAAGUUAUAUUCUGUUUUUAAAAUUAAAAAAAAGUACAAAUAAAUUAAAAAAAAUAGUACUAGCUGCAAAAAAUGAGUUUUUUUAAAACAUUAUUAACGCUGUCAGUAAAAUUACACUAAACCCUAAAGUCUAACUAUUAAACCCUAAACCCUUGAGUAAAUCCUAAACUCUAAAUCGUUAAAACUAAGCAAUAAAUCAUAAACACUAAAUCCUAAACGCUGUCAGCAAAACUCUAAAUCUUAGCCCUAAACCCUAGGGUUUAGGGUUUACCCAAGGGUUUAGAGUUUACCCAAAGAUUUAGGGUUUACCCAAGCAUUUAGGGUUUACCCAAGGGUUUAGGAUUUACCCAAAAAUUUAAGGUUUAGUUUUUAGGGUUUAAUGUUUAAGAUUUAGGGUUUAUUGUUUUGAUGACGGUGUUAACAAUGUUUAAAAAAAUUUGUACUAUUUUUUAUUUAUUUUUACUUUAAAAAACAUAACAUAAUUUGGCAAAUUCUUAUUAUUUUGUUUUCUUUUUUUCAACUCCUGAAUAUGAGCUCGCAGACUUUUAUUGGUCGGUGAAUAAAUAAUUUUUUUAAGAAAUAUCAAAGUACGGAUCAAUAAUUUUUCUAUAUUUAAAUUAUUGGUCACUAAUAAUAGUAUUAUUACAUCACUUCCAAUCAAUAUUAAUUUUAUUUUAUAAUUUAAUAUUUUUACUAUUUAAUAAUGCCUAGACAAAUUUUAAACGGUUUCAAAUCUAAAACAGUUAUCAAUCAUCAAUUUUAUAAAAUUUACGUAAAACAAUAAUAAUAAAUACAGGUGCAUUAUUGAACAAAUUUGUUUGUUCUGAUGUGUUUACUUAUAUGAAAUUUUGAUCCCUAAAAUGUUUCAUACAGAAGUAAAGUUUGCCAAACAUAAUAAAAGAAAAGUAAGUCAAAUUAUCUUCCUAAUUUUACUGUGAUAGUCAGGUUACUCUUUUUCAUUUCAUAUAAUAGAAACUUAAUUGAGAUUAAUAUAAAUAAAAUUUUAAAAUGAUAAAUAAAAUUUUAAAACUAAAUUUCCUCAUUUAUACAAAAUAUUUACCAUGAAAGUAAAAAUAAUAAGUUGCAAUUGAUUAAGUAAACACAAUUAAUCUAAAAUUAAGAUGAUAAUUUACAUGUGAAAAAAUAUGAAAAAAAAUUUAAAAGUAUAUUAUCCGCGCAUAGCGCAGAAAAACGAUCUAGUAAGUAUAAAUAAUAAGAAAACUAGUUAAAUGUAAUGGUUCAAUCUAUACUAUUUAUAAAUAGAUAAAAAAAUAUGACUAUACAUUAACUGAUUAGAUGUAAAUGAAAAUGAAAAUAUGAAUAUGAAUAUUUUGGAAAGAAAAAUUACCUGGAAUUGACCAUUUUUCUAUAAGUUUUAAGAUAUGCUUUCACUUUUAUGAUGUCAAAUUGUAGUAACUCUCCUACAAAAUAUUAAAAUAUCUUUAAAACUCUAAUGGUAGAGUAAAUGGUAAUUAUAAUUGUCUUACAAAUUAAUAUACAUAUUAAUAUAGUGUGAGUUGUUUUUUUAACAACUAAAACUUAGGCUAUGAAUGGUGACCAAAGAAUGAAGAGGAAUAAUGCAUUUUUUAAUGUUCCUAAAACUUUUUACCAUUCAUAAGAAAUAGUUUUUACUUUCUAUUCCUCUUCAUUCAUUUUAUUGUAGAGAAAUAUAGAACAUAUUUGUUCCUCCCUAAAUAUAGAACAUAGAACAUAUAUUCACAUUUUAUCAAAAAAAAGAAAAAAGAAAUGUAGAACAUAUUUGUUCCUCCCUAAAUAUGAUAAGGAAUAAUAAUUUCUUCUCAUUCCUAUAAUUUUAUUCCACUCAAUUAUUUUCCUAUCCGUUUCUGAUGUUCCUAUGAUGAUUACCAGGAAAAAAAAUACUUAGAUUUUAAACAAAUUACUUAAAUACAUAUACAACUAUGAGAUACAAAAAAUAAAUAAUUAAAACGAUAAGAAAGCUUCAUGCGAACUUGAAAUAUUUGUUGCAUUUUGAGUAUCAGAUCUCUUUGUUGUAUUAUUAUGGUCUUAUUCCAAUUUAGAUCUACAAAUGUUCUUCAGUUCAGAACCCAAUGUAUUGAUUCAACCGUAAGAAAUAAAAAUUAGAAUAACCAAUUUCUAACGAUUAUAAGGAUAUUAACAUACCAUAAAGAGACUACAUAUUGUUGUUUCUUGCAUGAUGCAUUACAUGAUUUCAAACAAAUAUUUUGAUACCAAGUAUAUUGUUUCAAAAUAUAAGUUGUGAAAAAAAUUGGUUGGCCGACAUCAUACUUCUUCCUCUUGUCUCUAGAUCUUCUUCUUCAUGUUGAAUCCAUAGUAGUUUCAGUUGGUGGCUGGAGGUUCCAUAACAAAUCCUUACGGAUUUAUUUCAAACAUCCCAUAUCCCAUAUACCAUCAUCAAGUCUCUCUCUCUCUCAAUAUAAUAAUAAAAUAAUUGUUAUCAAUGGAAGACUUGAUAAUAGAUUAAGCGAACCGGUUCAAACAUGAACCACCACAAGCCGCGUGAAGAAAACUCCAAUGGAAAUAAACUGACACAUUCUUUUAUGGACAAACCAUGAGACGUUGCCGGACAAACAUCCUCUCGAAGAGAGAGAUAGAAAGGAAAACAUUGACAAUGAAGCAUCAACAAAAACAAAUGAUGAUGAUCAUGAAUCAAUGAUUUGCACUUAGAAAUUAAAAACUAAUAAAUUUAAAAGAAGAGUACGGCCGACGUAGGAGUCGACGCCGGCCAGUGACAGUUGCGUGAAAGAGGGUGGUUGUUGACAAAGAUAUCGCUUGGUGAAUCACUCGAGAGAGAAGACGGUUGUGUAUAUAGUGUGCGUUAUGUGUUUUAAAUUUAGGGUCAUUUAUCUGAAUAUAAAAAUAUCAGUAGGUAAUUCCGAAUGCAUGCACAAUUUGAAAGUAAUUUGACAUAUGGUUUAUUUACUAGGUAUGGUUUAACGAUAUACCUCUCAACACCAAAAAUAAAGUUAUUUUAUAAACUGUAGUCGGGUAUAAUGAAUAUUUGAAAAUAUAUUUUGUUGGUAAAGUGUCAGGAGUAGAAUGACGUAUAAAUUUAUUUAUGUAUGUUAAUAUACUUAUUAAUUGAUAAUAAUUAUAGAACCCAGCUGUCAGAGUUGUGUCAGGUGAAAAUUCUAAUAAAAUAUUUUCAGUCAUGUUGCUCAUUACACUAAACAUGUGAAAAAUAAAUAGGUUAUGAAAACGGUGAACAAUUAAUAAUAACCAGAAAAUCAUAAUUGUAUCUGGAGUAUUUGUUAAAGUUGCAAUUUUUAAUUUAGAAAAUUGAGAUUAGGUGAUGUAAUCAUAUAUGCAACAUGAAUCUUUUGUAGUUUGUGUGGAAAUAUUGAAAUUAAGACAUUGGGGUUUUACAAAGUUUUAACAUCAUAGCAUAACAGCUUAAACUGAAAAAGGAAACACACAUUCAUCAUUCACGGGUUAACACGACCUAAGAUUUUAUAAUGAAAACGAUUACAGAAGUUACAACAAUAAAACCACACCAAGAAAUGAUCAUAAACUGGUACAUGAUUUGGUUAUGAAGUAAUAUUUCCAGAUAUACGAUAAAAAUCUGGCUAAAUAUAUAUAAUAUGGGUUUGUAAUAAUCCUUUUAAUGUAUGUUUUUAAUCGAGUAACAUGGUAUAUUUUUUGGUUUGUAGUAUUCAUGAUAUAAAUAUUGAAUAUCCGGAUAUUUGAUGCUGUAUCUGGUUGUCUAAAUCAUAACUGGUUAUAUCUUGUUGACUAAAUUAUUUGUACUGAAUUGCAUGUGAAAAAAAGAAUUCAACUUUGUCCAGAUAAAUAAAAGGCAAUCCAGUGAAAUUAAAAACUAUGUAGCAAUAGUUUGUUAUAGUCCUAAUUUUUAUAUAUUAGUUGAUUAAUAUUACCAAAUAUAUGGUAAGGAAUCUGGUUAAACAUAAAUAAAACAGUUUGUAGUCAUCUUGUAAAUCAAUAUAUUUAUUCAUGUGAAAUAGUACAUAUUUAGUUUGUAAUAUUCAAGAUAUAUCCUGGUAUUUGUUCAUUUAUCCAGAUGUUUCCGCCGUGAAGACGGCGACACUAUGUUGUCUAUAUCAUUAACCACCAAAGACGAUGAAUCACAAUCGCUAUGGCGAUUAUCUGGAGCCGUCAGAGGAGUUCACAUAUAUAUAUAUAUAUAUAUAUAUAUAUAUAUAUAUAUGUAUUCGCCACUUUUACCACAGAAGAAGAAGACACAAGUCAACUAAAUAAAAGCAAUUUCACUAAGACAAUCAAUAUCACUGUGUAAGCUUUUGUCAUGGUAUAAAGUAGAUAAAGUUACUUGUUUUUGAACGGAGGAAGAAGGACAAAACUCAUCAAAAGAGGCAAUCUGAUGUUUGGGGGAUUAUAAAAGGGUGCCAGACAAAAUCACAACACAAGUAAAACAAUUUUUCUGCUGAGAAUCCAUCCUCAGAAUCUCGACAUCUACAUUAUACCAAUUGUGCCGCUUUUGAUAUUGAGAAAUAAACAGAGAAGGUAAGCUAGGGUUCAGAAAAAUGGUGAAAGACAGAAGUUUUACAAGUUUACUAGUACAAAAACUUUAUAAGUUUUGCGGAUGGAGAAAUUAAAAUUUUGUACUAUAUGCAUAAACCCAUAGUAAUGGAUACAAUUUUUACUUAUAAUCAAAUUAAAUUUAAAAUUAAAUUAUGUAAUCAAAUAAUAAAUUUUAAAAUCAACGGAAAACUAUUUUAACUCUAAUUUUAAAUUUUUAAAACGUUAUUUCUGCAUAUGAUAUGAUGCAUGAAAACAUAUAGUUAUGCAUAUAUGACAUAAAGUAAAAUACUGUAACUUUUGUGUCUUGUGUUGACAUAAUUGUUCAUGUUUUUUUUCUGUACUAUUAACUUUUGUUUUUCUUCUCCAACAUACGACAAAGAUGUUAUUUACCCAGGAUUGUUUUUCUCUAAUUUAAAUCAAUUUGAUGGAAAAUCAGAUUAUCUAUAGAAACCCACUGCUCUUAACCAUCAUGUGGUCCUAUGCCGACCUCAUGUUCAUCUUAUCUUUUGCCACCAUGACAACAACUUUGUCGAUGCUGGAUGCGCCAUAUGUGGCAGAGAAAUCAAGAUCUCAAAGAAAACAAUCCCGAAAUAGUCUCUAAAUUUUGGAAAUUGGUUCCUCCCUAUCACAUCUAAGAAAAUGAUUUAUUAAUAUAUAGAAAAGAUAACUCAAUUGUAUCGGUUAAUGAUCAUGUUAUAUGUUUGCAUUUAUAUCUCUACAAAACAUAAAUAUUUAUGAGGGGUGUCAUACAUUUAUCCAAAAUUAAAUGUACCUUUCUUUCAAUUUAAACACCACCAUUCCUCCACUGACAUCCGACUCAUAUUGUUUUUGCAACCGUCACAACAAUUAUGUAAUUCUGAUACAAUAAUUGCUAAUUGUUAAGAAGAUAUAAGUUAAAUAGUUAUUGAAUAAUUUAUCUGGUACAAUAAUUGUUAAUUUCCAACGCCUAUAAAAUAAUGGACGUUUUAAUGACUAUAAAAAUGAUUGACAAUAUAUUACCAACAAAUGUAUCAAGUUAACAUACUAUAUAUAGUUAGCAAGCUAUAGUUAUGUGUAUAGUGCUAUAAAAUCAAUAACAUACAUAUUAGUGAAUACUCAUUCUUGGGUAUCAAACCAUAUAUCAUCUAACAAAACAUGUAUCAUACAACAAAAUAUGUACUAACAAAUUAACCAUGUAUCAAACAAUGUAUCAUCUACAACGUAUCAACACAUUUAAUAGCUUAUUAUACCAUGUGUCAAAUAAUGAAAACUAUUUCGUUAUUUCUUACCAGUCAUUUAUCAAUUAGUGGCAUCAUGUUUGUAACAUCUAAUAAACUUGUAUCCAUACAAGGAUAUAAUAUUAAAGAUAUGGUACCAAAACAUGUAUCAAGUAACAUAUAAUGUAUCAGCUAACAAAAUAUAUAUCAACUAACACUAACUAUUUUGUAAUAUCUUACUAGCGAUUUAUGAAUUUGCGGCAACAUGUUUGUAAUAUCUAACAAAACAAAUAUCCAAAAUAAUAACAUAAAAUUAAGGAUCCGGCAAAACAAAAAUAAAUAUCGGGUAACUGAUAAAAUGUCGGCUAACAUAAAAUGUUAUCCAAAUCAAAUACAACAUCACGAACUGAUUGCCUCUUGUUUGGUUUAUGCUUGGACAAGCUCGUUGAUUCUUUGAUUUCUUUCAAGUAUUCGUAACAUAUUUUGUAGCAAGUAAGAUCCCAUGUAUUUGGUAACACGAAUGUAUUAUAACAACUAGCCAAGAAACAACUUGUUUUAUAUCAGCUAACCAAAUAUGUAUCUCAAACGGUGAAUCCUCGACCAUAAACACCACAAUGGAAAUGUGUUGUUGGCCCAAACCCCUGAGUCAUGGUUUACGAACUCGCUGGAGACUGUGAGUCAUUCUAACGAGCCAGAUUAAUACCUACACUCAGACUCGUUAGAGAUCGUGGUAUGAGGAGUGAUGAGCUUGAUCUUAAAAUCAAAUCGGAUAGUGACUGAAAACGAAGAAGGCAUAUGAGGAGUUCGACGUUGCAGUUGCGAUGGUAUCAAAAAAUUUGUAAGUAGAAAAUUCAUGGUGUAAUCGUUAGUAAACAAAGUUAUGAGAGAAAAUAUAAUUCAGUGAUGAAGAAAUACAAUUACAGAAGAAAGAGAGGAGAGAACCAAGAGCUCUUGGCCUAGUGGUAAUGGAACUCCAUCUGGAGUGCCCGUCCUGGGUUCGAGUCGCCUUGGCCACCUUUCCGCCUAUUAAACGUGCAUGCCCGGAUGGAAGGCCUCAUGGAGAUUAGUCUGGGCUUACUGACUGGGAUCUCCCACGGUUAUCAAAUAAAAAAGAAAGAGAGGAGAGGAGAGAGAGAGAGAAGAGAGAGAGCUGUGGGAGUAGGAUAAUAAGAUAUUAGUGAGAUUUUGAAAAAAUCAUUAGUUCUUGAGGUAUUUAUUCUAUGUACAUGACUCCUAAUUUAUUUAGAAUAUUUCAUUCUUAUUGGUUCAACCCCCAUUCUCACAGUAGCUAUAGAUAGUGUACUAAAAAUUGAAAAAUUAUUUUUUUUCAUUUAUAAAAAACUAGUAAAUAAUAAAAUUGGUAGCUAAUGCGCCGCCAAUCAAUUUUAGCUUCAAAUUGAAUGUUUCAACGUUACUUAUAUAUAUGGCUGUGGUUAAUGAUAUUUUAAAUGGUGAUAAAUUAUUAUUAAAAAAUAAAACAAAAUAUUUUUUAAUAUAAACAUUUUAAGAUUGAAAGAAUAUAAAAUUACUCAGUCGAUUUAAUAUCAUCUUUUUUCGGAUCAUCAUACAAAAAGUUUUCAAAAACUUAUAUAUAUGUUCACUAACAAGAUUUCUAAAACACAAACUAACAAAGCGUUUAGUUUUAAAGAAAAAUCACAAUGUCAACAGCUAAAUUUGCUUUCUUUUGUAUCGUCUUGGUUUUUUUUGCUACUUUUCAUGAAUGUGUCAACAAAGUUGAUGCAGCUGCACUAAAAUGCUCUAGAUUACCAAAUUCUAAUUGGUGCUGCAACACAACACCGAGAAGGUGCCGAGGCAGCAAAUUGGAGUGUGACAAGAUUUGUAAACCCAAACGCCUCUGAAUUUUCUAGAAGAGAAUUUAUAUAAUUAUAUAUUCUAAAUGUUCUUUUACCUCUAUUAUUAUUAUUACUGAAAAUAAUAAAUAGGAAGACCUGUUCUAGAGGAGCAUCUAGUGUUGGGUUUUCUUCGAAGAGCUGAAAUUGUUUUUAUUUUUAAUUCUGGCUUUCUGCAAUUGUAUUUAAUAAGUUUAUAAUUUCAGAUAUAAUAAUUUGAAUCGAUUAAGUUAUUCUUUGGCA